CGGGGUAUGGCGUAGCUUGGUAACGCGCCUGCUUUGGGAGCAGGAGAUCGUGGGUUCAAAUCCCGCUACCCCGA
rnacentral:tRNA from 1 species